UUUGCUUAAAAGGUGCAAUUGCAUCACUACCAGAUGGACCUGCGUUGUAUUAGCUAGUUGGUGGGGUAACGGCUCACCAAGGCGACGAUACAUAGCCGACCUGAGAGGGUGAUCGGCCACACUGGGACUGAGACACGGCCCAGACUCCUACGGGAGGCAGCAGUAGGGAAUCUUCGGCAAUGGACGGAAGUCUGACCGAGCAACGCCGCGUGAGUGAAGAAGGUUUUCGGAUCGUAAAGCUCUGUUGUAAGAGAAGAACGAGUGUGAGAGUGGAAAGUUCACACUGUGACGGUAUCUUACCAGAAAGGGACGGCUAACUACGUGCCAGCAGCCGCGGUAAUACGUAGGUCCCGAGCGUUGUCCGGAUUUAUUGGGCGUAAAGCGAGCGCAGGCGGUUAGAUAAGUCUGAAGUUAAAGGCUGUGGCUUAACCAUAGUACGCUUUGGAAACUGUUUAACUUGAGUGCAAGAGGGGAGAGUGGAAUUCCAUGUGUAGCGGUGAAAUGCGUAGAUAUAUGGAGGAACACCGGUGGCGAAAGCGGCUCUCU
rnacentral:rRNA from 1 species